GUGAUACAAAAUAGAGAAAAUAAAAAUAUAGCUGCAGACUGUUCCAGCGUCACUGCCCCCAUGCCAUCUCAAAAAACAAUGAGGAAUUUGAUGUUUGUUGUAGGGGAGGGACUGCAGAGAUGGGGGUGUCCACCUGUUUUCUACAAUCGGCCAGACAGGACACUGUGGCACCGGCAGGACGAUUCAGGGAGGAGUCCUGGAGGCCCAGACAGCUCUCACUCAACAGGCUCAUCGGCAUCGACGAGCUCACCUCCGACAAGCCAGAGAGCAGAGAAGACAUAAGGUCGUCUAUGUUGGAGGUCCAAAUACAAAAGGCACCCAGAGGCUGAAACUAGUGAGAAGGCCCACAGAGAGGGACAUCUUCUGGGAUGAGACCACAGGAGAAAGUCUGGACCCCAGCUGCUUUCUGGACCCGAAAUAUCUGCCUCACCUU